GCAGUCGUGGCCAAGUGAUUAAGGCGAUGGUCUUGAAAACCAUUGAGUUCUUCCCGCGCAGGUUCGAACCCUGCCGACUGCG
rnacentral:tRNA from 1 species